AUGUCCCAAGAAAAAGUGGCUGCCAUGGAGUCCGGUGGUAUCCGACGUCCUUCGGCGAUUCUUGGAUUGUGUGCCGCUGUACUAUGGAGUCCGGUGGUGUCCGACGUCCUUCGGCGGUUCUUGGAUUGUGUGCCGCUGUACUAUGGAGUCCGGUGGUGUCCGACGUCCUUCGGCGGUUCUUGGAUUGUGUGCCGCUGUACUAUGGAGUCCGGUGGUAUCCGACGUCCUUCGGCGAUUCUUGGAUUGUGUGCCGCUGUACUAUGGAGUCCGGUGGUAUCCGACGUCCUUCGGCGGUUCUUGGAUUGUGUGCCGCUGUACUAUGGAGUCCGGUGGGAUCCGACGUCCUUCGGCGGUUCUUGGAUUGUGUGCCGCUGUACUAUGGAGUCCGGUGGGAUCCGACGUCCUUCAGCGGCUUUUGGAUUGUGUGCCGCUGUACUAUGGAGUCCGGUGGUAUCCGACGUCCUUCGGCGGUUCUUGGAUUGUGUGCCGCUGUACUAUGGAGUCCGGUGGUGUCCGACGUCCUUCGGCGGUUCUUGGAUUGUGUGCCGCUGUACUAUGGAGUCCGGUGGUAUCCGACGUCCUUCGGCGGUUCUUGGAUUGUGUGCCGCUGUACUAUGGAGUCCGGUGGGAUCCGACGUCCUUCGGCGGUUCUUGGAUUGUGUGCCGCUGUACUAUGGAGUCCGGUGGUAUCCGACGUCCUUCGGCGGUUCUUGGAUUGUGUGCCGCUGUACUAUGGAGUCCGGUGGUGUCCGACGUCCUUCAGCGGCUUUUGGAUUGUGUGCCGCUGUACUAUGGAGUCCGGUGGUGUCCGACGUCCUUCGGCGGUUCUUGGAUUGUGUGCCGCUGUACUAUGGAGUCCGGUGGUAUCCGACGUCCUUCGGCGGUUCUUGGAUUGUGUGCCGCUGUACUAUGGAGUCCGGUGGUAUCCGACGUCCUUCGGCGGUUCUUGGAUUGUGUGCCGCUGUACUAUGGAGUCCGGUGGUAUCCGACGUCCUUCGGCGGUUCUUGGAUUGUGUGCCGCUGUACUAUGGAGUCCGGUGGUGUCCGACGUCCUUCGGCGGUUCUUGGAUUGUGUGCCGCUGUGCUAUGGAGUCCGGUGGUAUCCGACGUCCUUCGGCAGUUCUUGGAUUGUGUGCCGCUGUACUAGGUGGAUGGGGCCCACAGAGGGAAAUAUGGCGACAACCUCGAAUUCUUGCCCUAAGUGCGUUUCCCAGCCCUGUUCAAAUGUCAUCAGCUCUUUGA
rnacentral:lncRNA from 1 species